GAUGAACGCUGGCGGCGUGCCUAAUACAUGCAAGUCGAGCGAACGGACGAGAAGCUUGCUUCUCUGAUGUUAGCGGCGGACGGGUGAGUAACACGUGGAUAACCUACCUAUAAGACUGGGAUAACUUCGGGAAACCGGAGCUAAUACCGGAUAAUAUUUUGAACCGCAUGGUUCAAAAGUGAAAGACGGUCUUGCUGUCACUUAUAGAUGGAUCCGCGCUGCAUUAGCUAGUUGGUAAGGUAACGGCUUACCAAGGCAACGAUGCAUAGCCGACCUGAGAGGGUGAUCGGCCACACUGGAACUGAGACACGGUCCAGACUCCUACGGGAGGCAGCGGUAGGGAAUCUUCCGCAAUGGGCGAAAGCCUGACGGAGCAACGCCGCGUGAGUGAUGAAGGUCUUCGGAUCGUAAAACUCUGUUAUUAGGGAAGAACAUAUGUGUAAGUAACUGUGCACAUCUUGACGGUACCUAAUCAGAAAGCCACGGCUAACUACGUGCCAGCAGCCGCGGUAAUACGUAGGUGGCAAGCGUUAUCCGGAAUUAUUGGGCGUAAAGCGCGCGUAGGCGGUUUUUUAAGUCUGAUGUGAAAGCCCACGGCUCAACCGUGGAGGGUCAUUGGAAACUGGAAAACUUGAGUGCAGAAGAGGAAAGUGGAAUUCCAUGUGUAGCGGUGAAAUGCGCAGAGAUAUGGAGGAACACCAGUGGCGAAGGCGACUUUCUGGUCUGUAACUGACGCUGAUGUGCGAAAGCGUGGGGAUCAAACAGGAUUAGAUACCCUGGUAGUCCACGCCGUAAACGAUGAGUGCUAAGUGUUAGGGGGUUUCCGCCCCUUAGUGCUGCAGCUAACGCAUUAAGCACUCCGCCUGGGGAGUACGACCGCAAGGUUGAAACUCAAGGGAAUUGACGGGGACCCGCACAAGCGGUGGAGCAUGUGGUUUAAUUCGAAGCAACGCGAAGAACCUUACCAAAUCUUGACAUCCUUUGACAACUCUAGAGAUAGAGCUUUCCCCUUCGGGGGACAAAGUGACAGGUGGUGCAUGGUUGUCGUCAGCUCGUGUCGUGAGAUGUUGGGUUAAGUCCCGCAACGAGCGCAACCCUUAAGCUUAGUUGCCAUCAUUAAGUUGGGCACUCUAAGUUGACUGCCGGUGACAAACCGGAGGAAGGUGGGGAUGACGUCAAAUCCUCAUGCCCCUUAUGAUUUGGGCUACACACGUGCUACAAUGGACAAUACAAAGGGCAGCGAAACCGCGAGGUCAAGCAAAUCCCAUAAAGUUGUUCUCAGUUCGGAUUGUAGUCUGCAACUCGACUACAUGAAGCUGGAAUCGCUAGUAAUCGUAGAUCAGCAUGCUACGGUGAAUACGUUCCCGGGUCU
rnacentral:rRNA from 1 species